GAUCAGAAGAACGCCACAAUCGAAAUUGAUAAGUUGGUCUGAUUCGUGAUGCAAUCAAUGAAAGAAGCAAACUCUCACUCUCUCAAAGAAGGCCGAAAUUUGCAUAAAGCAAAUCUGAAUUAAAUUUGUCAAAAACAAAAGAAGUGUCUGAUAUAAGAAUUUAAGGCCUUAUUUAUAGUGUAAGGCAAAAACCUAAACCUAGUUGGAAAAGGAAAACAAAUACUAAGUCAGAAUUCCUAUCCCAACAGGGAAACAAGCUAAAAUAACAAAAUAACUGCCAAGUCUUUAAAAACCACCCACAUUCUCGUAUGCCUCAAUAGUUCCAGCAGAAACCACAACCUCAGGGACGAAACCACAACCUGCUUAUGGUUCGGGCUGAUUCUCCACUAUCUUCCUCCAUGAUGUGCUCCAAAAUUAACUUCCACAAAACACAAAAGUAUCUUCGGCUAACUGAAUGUCGCGAGCGCGACUUUGAUAAUGGUAGCGAGCGCUACAAAUCUUCAAUUUGCUUCUGCUUCAUCCAUGCAUACACCCAGCAACGUAAUCAGCUUCGAAUGACCUUCAAGUUCCUUCUCGCACUUAUCCCUAGCAAUUUCA
rnacentral:lncRNA from 1 species